CCUGCACAAACAGCACAAUGAAGAAACGUUGGAGAGUUAGAACUUAGGCAUUGCAAAGUAGUGUCUGAUCAAAUCUACUAUUACUGAGCUAUAGGUACCACAGAUAUGAAUAUAUUUGUGCUGCCAGACCUCAAUUUACAGAAGGCUUUUUUUUUACCAAAACAAGAGAAAU